ACGCUCGACACCUACGGGAGCAGCAGUGGGGAACAUUGCACAAUGGGGGGAACCCUGAUGCAGCGACGCCGCGUGAGUGAAGAAGUACUUCGGUAUGUAAAGCUCUAUCAGCAGGGAAGAAAAUGACGGUACCUGACUAAGAAGCCCCGGCUAACUACGUGCCAACAGCCGCGGUAAUCUGAGCGGGCUGGCAAGGC
rnacentral:rRNA from 1 species